UAGGGAAUCUUCGGCAAUGCCCGGAAGUCUGACCGAGCAACGCCGCGUGAGUGAAGAAGGUUUUCGGAUCGUAAAGCUCUGUUGUAAGAGAAGAACGAGUGUGAGAGUGGAAAGUUCACACUGUGACGGUAUCUUACCAGAAAGGGACGGCUAACUACGUGCCAGCAGCCGCGGUAAUACGUAGGUCCCGAGCGUUGUCCGGAUUUAUUGGGCGUANACGAGCGCAGGCGGNUAGAUAAUCNGACAGAAAUUAAGGGCGGGNGUUAAAAUACAACUUGUUGGGGAAAACUGUUUAACUUGAGUGCAAGAGGGGAGAGUGGAAUUCCAUGUGUAGCGGUGAAAUGCGUAGAUAUAUGGAGGAACACCGGUGGCGAAAGCGGCUCUCUGGUCUGUAACUGACGCUGAGGCUCGAAAGCGUGGGGAGCAAACAGGAUUAGAUACCCUGGUAGUCCACGCCGUANCGAUGAGUGCUAGGUGUUGGGUCCUUUCCGGGACUCAGUGCCGCAGCUAACGCAUUAAGCACUCCGCCUGGGGAGUACGACCGCAAGGUUG
rnacentral:rRNA from 1 species